UUUUAAGAUGCCGAAACCAGCUUAUUUCAAAUGUGAUAUCGAUGGACCUUUACAUCGCUUUCCCAAAUGGGAAUAUCCUCAUACAGAGAAGUUUGACCAAUAGAAAUCUGUACUUGACAAUACAAUUCAAGAAAAAGGAAACAAUUAUAUUUACAAUUCCAUUCGUAUAUGCCACAAACAUUUUGAGGAGUACUUCAAAUCAUCAAGCAGACGAUUGACGAGGAAUACUGUCCCUAUAUUGAACAUAAGUAAGCAUAUAACAUAAUAACUUGUGAGAGACAGAGUUGAUUUGGUUGAUUUUAUUUGCAAUCUUUGUAUUAAGGUGAUUGUAUACAGUUGGUGCCUGGGAUUAAAUCGAUUAUUAAAUGGAAAAUGUUCAAAUUUUGAUAGGAAUGACCAAUCCGAUUAUAAUAAUAAAAGACGAAAAUAAACAACAGUUUUAUAAAUUCUA